rnacentral:rRNA from 1 species
UCGCUCUAUGGAUGGCGCCAAAAGCAAACCCAAGCGAGCGCAGGAGCGCCGGUCCCAUNCCNACANAUCUCUCCCGGCGGGCGUAUUUGUCCCCUCUAGUAGUAGCNANGCAGCGAGCCGUCUCCAUUUUGGGAGCCAGGAGGGCCCGCAGGUGGGCGAGCCUUAAAACUCGGCCGCCUCGUCCGGACUGGUACCCUCGGUCGGGAGGGGAAACCGGCGGGGUUUUGCCGCUCGAUGACUGGCUCCGGGGAC